CGCGGGGAGGGCCAGCCGCGGAGAGCCCCGCGCGGCGGGACGCGGGGGAGCGCGGAGCAGGGCGGGGGCACCGGGCUCGCCACCGGGCCUCGGAACACGGGGAAGCGGCACGGCCGGGGCUGGCUGCCGGCCCUCGUCCUCCUGCAGCCGCAAUCCAGCGAGCGACAGCGGCGGUAUCGACCGGAGAUGAGGGAAGAAAAGAAGUAGAGGAAGGAUGCUACUGUUAAUGAAGAAAAAAAUAGUGUCCAUUUCAGGUGUAGUAGCUGUUAAAUAUAUAGGCAUAUGUGUGAUUAUAUGUGUGACGCAGUUAUAAAAAUGAAAGGCAUACCAUCUUUCCCCUUUGCCUUGAAAUACACUUUCUCCUACAUCAACAAGUAGUACAGGCUCUCUCCCCCUCUUCUCUCCCCCUCCUUCCUUCAGCCGGUCCUGACAAAAUACCAGUUAAAAAGGUCAGUCUGUUUAUGUAAAGAUCAGUGUUUCUUAACAAAGACUGCUGCACAUCAAGUCUGCAAUGACUAUCAAAUAGACUUUGGGACUCAAGAUACUCAAUAAGACUACUGUUCAUUUUCUAGAAUUGAUGAAAUCCCAGAGAAAACACAAGACAAAGAGACACAGAGUGUGAAUGGGAUAGAUCAACAAUGCCAGGUUUCGUGCUACCCCAAAUGAUGUCAUAGGCUGAACUUGUUCUUCAGUCAUUUCACACCAGAGAUAGUUUAAGUCAAGCAAGAAGAAUUUCCAGUCUGACCGACACCACCAAAAAAAAGAAAAUUAACUUAAUUACAGUUUGUCUCAGACCCUUCAUAGUUAGGUUCAUUCUUCAUUUAUCUAGAGUGCAGUAGAAACUGUCUGAUAUGUAUUUCACAGUUUCCAUUUCCCUCCUGAUAACUUCUUUAGUCAAGAGUAAUACAACUUUGGUUCCUCAAUUCAUAUCACUUCUUCUGGCCCUUUUUCUGCUUUAAAUCUAAUGAGGAUUUUUGAUAUUAUUCAUUUGUGCACAUUUGCUGAAUACCUAAAAGUUAAAAAAAUGUUGCCUUAGAAUAAUGACAUAGAUCUUCCAAUGAUGCCGGUUUGCAGAAUCAUACAAUCAUUAAGGUUGGAAAACACCUCCAAGAUACCUGGUCCAACCAUCACCCUGUUACCAAUGUCACCCCCUAAACCAUGUGCCUAAGCACUAUGUCCAAUCUUUCCUUAAACACCCCCAGGGAUGGUAACUCCACCACCUCCCUGAGCAACCCAUUCCAAUGCCUGACUGCUCUUUCUGAGAAGAAAUGUCUCCUCAUUUCCAACCUAAACCUCCCCUGGCACAACUUGGGGCCAUUCCCUCUAGUCCUAAAGCUAGUUAUCUGUGAGAAGAGGCCGACACCCAGCUCCCCACACCUUCCUUUCAGGUAGUUGCAGAGAUGAAUAAGGUCUCCCCUGAGCCUCUUCUCGACUAAACAACCCCAGUUCCCUCAGCUGCUCCUCACAGGACUUGUGUCCCAGACCCCUCACCAGCUUUGUAGCCCUUCUCUGGACAUGUUCCAGGGCCUCGAUGUCCUUCUUGUAGUGAGGGCCCCAAAGCUGAACGCAGUACUUGAGGUGCGGCCUCACCAGAGCAGAGUACAGGGGAAAAAUCAAUGCUGGCUACACUAUUCCUGAUAUAAGCCAGGAUGCUGUUGGCCUUCUUGGCCACACUGCUGGCUCAUGUUCAGGUGAGCAUUGACCGUCACCCCCAGAUCCUUUUCCUCUGCACAGCUUUCCAGCCACUCUGCCCCAAGCCUGUAGCACUGCAUGGGGUUGUGGCCAAAGUGCAGGACCUGGAACUUAGCUAUGUUGAACCUCAUCCCAUUGGCCUGUGCCCAUCAACCCAUCCUGUCCAGGUCCCUCUGCAGGGCCUUCCUACCCUCUGGCAGACUCACACUUCCCCUCAACUUGGUGUCAUCUGCAAACUUACUGAGGGUGCACUCAAUUCCCUCAUCUAAAUUUACAUCAAUAAAGAUAUUAAAGAGGAUGGGCCCCAACACUGAUCCCUGGGGAACACCACUGGUGACCGGUCUCUGGUUGCAUUUCACCACCACUCUCUGGGCCCAGUCACCCAGCCAGUUUUUAACUCAGCAAAGAGUGUACCUGUCCAAGCCAUGGGCUGCCACUUAGUCUCCAGUCAUAUGGGAUCUCUCCGGAUGACUAUGACCACUGAUAGAUGAUGGAAAGCGGCCCAGCAAUCACAUCUGCCAACUCCAUCUUGCCCCAUGACUUGUGACAGUCCAGGUGGAGCAGCCUGUCUCUAGCUGUUUCCACCUGAACUGUGGAGGGGUUCUUCUGCUCCCCGUACCAGACUUCUAGGUCGGGAGGCUGAGUACUCCGAAGAUAAGUGGUUUGGCUAGUAAAGACAGAUGCAAAGAAGGCAUUAAGAACCUCAGCUUUUUCCUUAUCCUCAGUAGUCAUGUUCCCCCUUGCAUCCAGCAAAGAAUGGAGAUUCUCCUUGGCCCUCCUCUUGCCAUCAAUAUAUUUAUAAAAACAUUUUUUGUUAUCCACCAACACCUAAUUGCCACCACAGUUCCAUUUUAGCCUUUAAAAUAGUCCUGAAGUAGGGUUGGAGUCUUGUAGAGUACUCUGAUGCCUUUUGUUCAAUGAUGGUAAUAAUCCAUGACCCUGUAAUAUAAUUGAUAUGAUACGAUAUGAUGUAUGAUAUGAUAUUACAAAAAUGUAUAAUAGUGCAGAAUACUGGAAUUGCAAGCAAUGGAACAAUGGCACUAAAGUACUUGAAUGGGGUAAGAACUUCUACCAUGAACUGGAAAUACUAAAUCCAAACUCAGACCUAGUCUCACCUGAGGAGCGAGACAGCACAGCAUCAUGUGAGAAUAGAGAGGCACAUUACGUCUGUCAGUCUUAAAAGCCAAGUGACACUGAAGUAUAGUUCAUUAGAUUCCUUUGUCCUGUUAAUCUACAUUCGGUAGUGCUGUGUAUGUGUAUUGGCAAAUGCACAUCUUAACAGUGUAUCCCAUAAAAUAUUUUUUUACUUCAUAUAAUCAGAUUUUUGACCCUCUGUCUUCCAGAACUAGCUCCAUGCUUCUUUUUAGAUACCAAAAAUACAUGCAAUUCAUUAAAUCAGUUCAGCAGUUACCCUUAGUUUGCAACAGGCAAACAUAUUAUGCAAACAACAAGGCCACCUUCUUGAAGUAGCUUCCUCUUCAAGCUAUAAUGAAUUCUCUGCAUGGUACUCUCCUGUAAAUUCCUCAUCUAAAAAUUCCAUCCACUACAUGUUUUGUCAGGGGAAACUACUUGACUUUUGAAACAGUUGGGAAGAGCAAAAUGAUAACCUACUGAAGUCCCUUGCCCUUAACUGAACUAACGGCAAAGUAAUUAAAGCUAAAGCAAAAAGGCUUCAAUUUUGGACUCCUCAUAUUCUAAGAAUUGCAUGUUUUGACAUGGGUGAGGUAUUUUUUAGAAGUCUGAUUUGAAUGUCAAAUUUGCAUAUUCAGCUAGAAAGCAUAGGGAAUGCUUAAUUGUCUAUGUCCAAGUGUUCAUAUUUUGCUUUGACAACAAUGUGUCAGAUAUUCCUGGGUUUCAUUUUCUGUUACUAUUUAAGUGCAUCCAUAAAUUGAACUUAUAUCUAAAUAAGUCCUGUGUUUGCUCACUAUAGAAAUAAAUACGCUACAUUUAGAAUUUUACUUCACAGACACAUUUCAACAUAUAUGCUUUUAUUUAAAUGG